AGAGUUUGAUCAUGGCUCAGGAUGAACGCUAGCGGCAGGCUUAACACAUGCAAGUCGAGGGGCAGCACGGGUAGCAAUACCUGGUGGCGACCGGCGCAAGGGUGCGUAACGCGUGAGCAACAUGCCCUAUACAGGGGGAUAAACCAGGGAAACUUGGACUAAUACCCCAUAGCAUUUAUUUAUGGCAUCAUGAAUAAAUUAAAGCUUCGGUGGUAUAGGAUUGGCUCGCGUGACAUUAGCUAGAUGGUGAGGUAACGGCUCACCAUGGCGAUGAUGUCUAGGGGUUCUGAGAGGAAGGCCCCCCACACUGGGACUGAGACACGGCCCAGACUCCUACGGGAGGCAGCAGUGAGGAAUAUUGGACAAUGGAUGGAAAUCUGAUCCAGCCAUGCCGCGUGCAGGAAGACGGCCCUAUGGGUUGUAAACUGCUUUUAUACGGGAGCAAUAAGGUCUACGUGUAGACUGAUGAGAGUACCGUAUGAAUAAGCAUCGGCUAACUCCGUGCCAGCAGCCGCGGUAAUACGGAGGAUGCGAGCGUUAUCCGGAUUUAUUGGGUUUAAAGGGUGCGUAGGCGGCCUUGUAAGUCAGCGGUGAAAUUUUGCAGCUUAACUGUAAAAGUGCCGUUGAUACUGUGAGGCUAGGAUUUGGUUGCUGUGGGUGGAAUGUGUGGUGUAGCGGUGAAAUGCUUAGAGAUCACACAGAAUAUCGAUUGCGAAGGCAGCUCACAAAGCCAAGAUUGACGCUGAGGCACGAAAGUGUGGGGAUCAAACAGGAUUAGAUACCCUGGUAGUCCACACUGUAAACGAUGAUAACUCGCUGUCGGCGAUAUACAGUCGGUGGCCAAGCGAAAGCGAUAAGUUAUCCACCUGGGGAGUACGACCGCAAGGUUGAAACUCAAAUGAAUUGACGGGG
rnacentral:rRNA from 1 species